AUGGGAGGGCUCCUAUGCCAGAGGGAAAAAGAACAAUGUGCUUGCAAAAAGGUUCUAAAUGAUGCUAUAUGGUCAGUAUCCCAAAUGCUAGAAGAGCUAAAUUAUGCAAUAUUGCUUAGCUAUGAGGACUUGCCCUCUUGUUUGAGGCAAUGCUUUCUCCAUUUCUCCAUUAAACCUAAAAAGAAACAUACGCCAUCCUAUCAAAUUGUCGGCAUGUGGGUCAGUGAAGGUUUUGUUCAUGGAAACUCAAAUGGAUUAGAAGAAUCAAGACUUGAGUAUUACAAGGAAUGAUACUACGUGACCUUAUAGAUCCAGAUCCAGAUGACAUUGGCUCUAGAUAUGUGCAAUAUGCAUGAUGUCGUUCGCUCAUUUGCUCAAUUUUUAGCUAGAGAUGGCGCACUAAUAACUCACAAUGGAGAAAAUAUUAACCACAAAAUUAGUUUGCAAAGGCUUCUUAGGUUGUCUGUCGACACCGAAGGAUUGGAAUAAGAUGAAUUUGAGUGGAGAACUUUACAAGAGCAGAAAUCACUUACAUCAUUAAUGAUAAUUGGGAGUUUCAAGAUACAGUCAGAUGAUUCAUUGGGAACCUUUUCAAGCCUACGGACACUAAAUAUAGAAUCCUCAAAUUUUGUCGCCUUGACUGAAUCUCUGUAUAAGCUGAAACACUUGAGGUAUUUGGCGUUAAAAAAAUGCAAUGACUUAAAUAGACUACCGGAGAACAUCCAUAGGAUGAAAUUUCUACAACACAUUAGCCUUGAAGGAUGUGAUAAUUUUGUGAAACUUCCCAGUAGCAUUGUAAUGUUAAGAGAACUGAGAUACCUUGACCUUGACGAGACAUCUGUAAGUAGUAUGCCUAGGGGUUUUUGUGCUUUAACAAAUCUGAGGACACUUUAUGGGUUUAGAGCCCACAUGGAUGAUGAUUGGUGUAGUUUGGAAGAGCUCCGGCCUCUUUCCAACUUUAGGCGCCUUGGAUUAGUGGGUUUGAAGAAUGUAUCCGCUGCCUCAUUCACCACAAAGGUGAGGCUUAGUGAAAAGGUCAAGCUUACCAUUUUGACCCUCAACUGCAUGAGUAGAGUAGGCAGCAAUGAACUGAUCAAAGAUGGAGUGUCUGAGAAGGAUCAAGGAACUAUUCAGGAGGUGUUUGAUGGCCUCUAUCCUCCGCCUUGCAUACAAGAUAUUCGCAUCUGCAACUAUUUUGGGAGUCAACUCCCAAGAUGGUUGAUGUCAGUAACAGUGAAGCAGAUGCCCCUCAAUAGCUUAAAAAUUCUAGUGAUGUGGGAUCUGCCUUAUUGCACUCAACUCUCCGAUGGAUUGUGUUUGCUCCCAUGUUUAGAGUACCUAUCCAUCAAGCAAGCUCCAGCGAUCAAGCAUGUUGGGUAUGAAUUCGUGCAGCCCUAUAGUCAUCAUCCUUCAUCCCGGGUUGUGGUUGCAUUUUCAAGACUGCAAGAGAUGACCUUGAAUGGAAUGGAUGAAUGGGAGGAGUGGGAGUGGGAGGAGGAAGUGCAUGCUAUGCCGGCCUUGGAGGAGCUUUUUAUUGAGAGUUGCAAAUUGAGGUGUAUCCCCCCGGCCUUGCCACACAUGCGAGGUCUUUGA
rnacentral:rRNA from 1 species